rnacentral:tRNA from 1 species
GCGCCCGUAGCUCAAUUGGAUAGAGCGUCGGUCUACGGAACCGAAGGUUGGGGAUUCGAACUCCUCCGGGCGCACCA